AUCUGCAGGCACACUGCCGUGGGUGCAUCCAAUCUCACCUGAUCUUGGAAGCCAAGCGGGUCUGGGCCUGGAUGGUACUUGGGAAGGAGGGAUCAGGAAUGGCAUUCA
rnacentral:rRNA from 1 species